rnacentral:tRNA from 1 species
AUUGAAAUAUUAAUUAAAGCUUCUAACUUUAGAAAAAGCAUUAAAAUUGUUUAU